CACAUGUUUACGCAACUUCUUCUGUCAUUCUGUUUUUUUUUUCUUCUGGAAGCAACUGCUUUAGGCGGCCGAGGAGAAGGAGGAAGACGAGCCAGCCGUGGGCAGCAAGGGGCAGGUUCCAGCAGCCUUCGUGCGCGCCACCUGUUCGACCGAACGCCUCCGAGCCCUGCCGGCUGCCGCGCCACAAUGGCGGAGGAGCAGCCUGCGCGCCCCGUCGUCGGGAUCAACGACCUCCCCUUGGACGUCCUCCGCAGCGUCUUGUCCCUCCUGAGCGCGCGCGACGUCGUGCGCACCUGCGUGCAGUCGCGGCUCUGGCGCGACCUCUGGAAGUCCGUUCCCGUCAUCAACGCCCUCGUCUUCGACUUCGACGGCCGAGGUCGAAGUUACCAGCAGGCCGAGGUGCUGUUCAAGAGGUUCAUGAACCAUUUCCUGGAGGCCCGUGGACCCGUCCCUCUCCAAGACUUCCGCCUCUGGUACAGAGAGUCCGAGGAAGACGAAGAAGCCCAAUCCGGAGACGCAACGCAUGGAUCAGCUAUGCGUCACGGCAAGAUGCUUCGCACAUCGUGGGUAUCAAUCGUCUCUUGCCGUACUACCUCGCUCCCGAUGUGUUCACUUCAAAACACCUGAAAGUCCUGCAGCUCAGCAGGGCUGUUUUGGUCCAAGGCUUCUUUAGGCAGCUGAGUAAUUAUUGCCCUGAAUUGAAGGCCCUGUUCCUAUCGGAGUGCCGGAUUUUGGACACUAAUAUUUACUCCGAGACGAUCGUGGUUUUGUCCCUCACGAUCAACCUCCUUGGUGACCAGCCUGGUAUUUGUAUUCCAAGCCUCAUUUCUCUGAUCCUCCAUUCUCGUUAUGGGCCCGGGCUACCUUUAUUGAAAUCUAUGGAAUCGCUGGAGGAGGCAUGGAUAUUAAUCUCGCGACAAAACCAAGAUAUUGAUGCUCCUGCUAUCAGACAGUUCCUCAACAGCCUUUCUCGUGUUAGAAGAUUGGAAUUCGAUUAUCAACACAGAAGGCUCACAAUGGAAAAUAAUUACCAUGGUGUCCAACAUUCAGCAAUCUUACAGAUCUGACUCUUCAUGACUGGUGUGUGCAUGAGGACUUCUAUGGAUUGAUAGUCUUCCUUCAGAAGUCACCAAAUCUGAAGAAGCUAACUCUGAUACUAAAACCACCGACGGAGCAAUCUGGGGUGGUACCUUCAAUUAUCGGACAACUGGAAGAAAGAUCGUUUAGAUGUAACCAGCUUGAGGGUGUGGAAAUCGUAUGCUUGAAGAACCAGUGCUCCAUGCUCCCCAAGGUGCGACAGUUCUUGCUUGAUGGAGGCAUAACCACUGAUAAGAUUCAUAUUGCAGUUAGCACCGGGUAAGGCCAAGGCGUGUGAACUUUCUCAGGUUCAAGUAGAGUCGAAAUGUCAGAUGAUCGGCCAUUCGCUCACCAUUGCAGAAUAUGACUGUCCUGUUGGAUUUACUCCCGUUCGUUCCCCUUCAAGUUGGAAGGAGCAUGGCAUUCUUGUUUCUUGUUUUGCUAUUUGUCAUGCUUAGAAAUUAGAAUCACAGUGCAAUGGUGAAUUUGACAGAAUAUUGUCGCUGAACGCGAGCCGAAACAAGAAGGUCGUUUAAACGUGGCUUUGUUGAUACCGUAUCUUAAGAAUCCUAUACGUGGAGGAGUCCUUCUUACCUGAUGUAUGGUGCAAUAUAUAGCUCACUGUGGUUUUGCUCUUUCAACUGAUGCGUGCUGUCAUUUUUUUGA